rnacentral:lncRNA from 1 species
AUCUUCAUGAUGUUUUUUGUUAGUCUCUGAUGGAGGAGAGACUAGUACAGUUUUGGCACACGGACUGAAAAUACGGUCCUGGGGAUGGUAUUUAGAGCUACCAAACCAGCUAACUUCCCUCAGUCAUCUAUUGCUAUAACAGAGUUUGUGCAAGCACAGUUAUAAAGACCGUAAGAAGGAAGAAAUCCAAGUUGUGCCAAGGCUACUUGGGAGAGAAUUAUGAUGGAAAUGUUUAUUAAGAUUCUCAAUAAAUAAAAUGCCAUG